AUUUCUUUGACUGUCAUAUUCUCAUCCGCUCCCAGUGCCAGUACUGUCCAAUACUCUUGGCAACACAUAUGGCCAAUAACAUGCUGAACUGGAACCACGUAACUAAGACAAAUUCUUGUGUUUCGUAAGCAUUGUUUGAUGAUAACAUGCUGAACUGAACUGUCCUUUGCAGUAAACACUAUCCAGCAGGAUAACAUUCCAUGUAAGAAAAAUGAAAGUUCACAAUACCACAAUGCUUUUUAUUUGUGUGCUUGUUCAGCAUGCAAAAUUUAAGUUCCAACUUUUGACGUCAUUUCAACUUUGCUGCGUUCUUUCUUCUUAAUAGACAACCAAACAUUCAAAUAAACUCUAGGGGCUUGUCAAACGAAAAAUUAUAAUAUCCAGCACAUACAAUUUAUGAAAGUUUCAGUUGAGGCUUUACCUUGAUCAGACAGAAUUUUCUUCUUCCAAGGAUGCACAUCCUAGUAUAGAGCCACAAGCUCGCCCACACAUGGGUCUAGCUUCCUUCCAUUUCAAUGGCCUGACCAGUGGAUUGCAUACCCUCACCAAACCCAAUCUCACAAUGUCAAAUCUCCCAGUUCCAGCAUCUUCCCACUUCAGAACCUUUCCACCCAAAAUAUACAAUUCCUCUCUUAAGGCUGCAAAACCAUAACCAAAGGCUUCCAAUGCCCGCGCAUGGUUAUGAAGAAUGACUGAAGGAAUUGCACCAACAAUAUACCAUCCUCCUUUUUCAGAAUCCCUUGUUUUAAUCAAGCUUUCACCCCAAUCAACAACUGUAUAUACCCGACUAUCCGCCAUGACCUGAACUGAGAAUUGCAUUGCCCUUGAGAAAGGCCAGAUAUCCUCUGCUGUGCUCCAUGUUUUUUCUGAUAGAUUAAAAACUUGAGAUACAUUCACGUCUGACAGGCCUACCUGGUCACUCAGAACAUGCAGUUUGCCUUUAUAUGAUAAGCCUAAGCAGUCCACCUGUGGGUUGGGCAUUGGUGGCAAUUCCUCCCAUUUGUCUAUUAGCGGAUCAUAAACCUCAGCAAGGGCAAGUCCUCUAGUACAAGACAAGUUGCGCCCCCCAGCAACAUAAACCUUACCACCGAUAACACUGCAUGCAAAAUGAGAACGCGGUGUUCGCAUGCUUGCCAUGCUUUUCCACUCUUUCUUAAAUGGAUCAAACUGCAGGACAUAAUCAGUUAUCAAAGGCUUUUGAUGGGGAAGUGAUGAAUCUUGUGGUGCAUAGGACCCACCAAUCACUAGGAGUCGAUUAUAAACACAAACACAAGAAAACCCAGAAUGAUGCCAGUCAGCAUAAUCCCCCGAAAACUUUGGCAGGGGAUGCCACCUAUCAGCAUCAGGAUCAUAGGCAAUCCACUGGUUGUUAGACUGUUCUGUAAGAGCAAACAGCCAAUUUCCACACCACCCUUCUUUAGCUUUAUAGUGUGCAUAUUCUGAGCUACGAAUUAAAUAUCUCCACCUCUUUGAGACAGUUUCAAGCAGCCCAUGGUGCCCAUGGGAUACUUUUGCAAGACAUCGCAAAGCCAGAUCAUCUGGCAGUCCUGGGAUGAUAGGCUGAUCUACAGAUUCCAUAGAUGAAGCGCAAAAACAAGAAAUGAAAACCUCGAAGACGUUGGUCGCGCUGAAAAGUUUAAGAAGAGAAGAAGAAUCUGGAAGGCAAGGCCAUAACAAUGUU
rnacentral:misc_RNA from 1 species